rnacentral:lncRNA from 1 species
ACCUAAUCAAGCCUGGGCAAUGGCGGGCGCCCCUCCCCCAGCCUUGCUGCCGCCUUGCAGUUUGAUCUCAGACUGCUGUGCUAGCAAUCAGCGAGACUCCGUGGGUGUAGGACCCUCUGAGCCAGGUGUGGGAUAUAAUCUCGUGGUGCGCCGUUUUUUAAGCCCGUCGGAAAAGCGCAGUAUUCAGGUAUCACCAGCUGUUUAUUUCUUCAGACAUAGUUAAAAUCUAAAAGAAAAAAGAAAAAAAAGUCCAACAUUCAGAAUCCCCAAGAUGCAUACGUAAAUCCUAAUAGAAAAUGCUCAGUUCAAGAAGUUCCAUUGAGGUGAAGCAAUGAUGCAAGGCUUUUGGCAACCGUUCCCCAGCUCCCAGCCACACAUCGCUCCACUUACCUUGAGUGACAGCCUCCAAAGAAAAGUUUCCACCGCGCCAGAGUCUUGACCCUGAGUGGCAUCGGCAGGGUCUCCUGCGGCAGACCAGGGGUGUUGCGGGCUGCGCUGGGUGGGGGACCGCGCGCUGCACGUGCAGUGCCGCCCGGACGGCGGCGAAAGGACAGCGGUGCACCCCGCCCGAGGCCCCAGCGAUCCAUCAGGGCGGCUGUACGCGGGAAGACGCUUCAUCUCAUCCCUAGAUGGCAGCAGGAUUCUGAAGCUGGCGCAGCCCUGGGCAGCCCUUUCUGGUCUAUUUUCCUGAACAGAUUGCCAGGGGAUACGGCGGCUAAACAGCCAGGCGCCUCCCCGGAGCGCAGCUCAGACAGAAGAGCAAGCCGGACAGACGCCGCUGGCGAGGCUUCGGGGGUCAGAUCCUGCAGCUUGGACACCACAUUCUCUCUUUUUGCACACAGAUGUGCUACUGUGUAAAAAUAAGCAAACAAACAAAAACGGGAGUUCAGCUUCUUGGAGAAUGUGUCAUGGUCAAGACCAGUGAUUCUGGACGGUGACAAAAGUCCUGGAGGCCUGAGUGCACAGAGGACACACGCACAGAUGCACAUGAACUCAUGGAGAAACACUGGUCUUCUCUGCCAGGGACCAGGCUGGCCAUGCAGGAAGGGAGCAGGAUGUGAAGAUUCAGACUUUAGCUCCAGCUUCACUACCGUCCUGCCGUGCACUUUGGGGGA